rnacentral:rRNA from 1 species
AGACGUCUACAUUAGAUACCCCUGUAGUCCUAGCCGUAAACGAUACUCGCUAGGUGUCGGCCACGGUGCGACCGUUGUCGGUGCCGUAGGGAAGCCGUGAAGCGAGCCACCUGGGAAGUACGGCCGCAAGGCUGAAACUUAGAGGAAUUGGCGGGGGAGCACCACAACGGGUGGAGCUUGCGGUUUAAUUGGAUUCAACGCCGGAAAUCUUACCGGGACCGACAGCAACAUGAAGGCCAGGCUGAAGACUUUGCCGGAUUAGCUG